AUGCAAAUGCGAAAGAAUAAAAAGAGGUCACAUAAUACAAAUUCGAACGUGGAAAAAAAAGGUCAUCGAGUAUUUUUCUUUAUUGACAUUUCUACCAAAUUCCGAAAUUGACAUCCUCAAUUUGUUGAUCAACUUUGAUUGGAUAGCUAUCACUAGAUGACUGGGUCUGCGGUGGCGACCGACCUGAAAUUCAUCUACGUCACAACGGGAAACCAUUUGGAACGGAUAUAAACGUUCCUAAAUGGUUAUGUUACACACUUUAUAACUUACACAGGUGAACAAUGGGAUGAGUUAAGACUUUAGCUCAGACAAGAAUUUUAUUUGUUCCUUUCUGGAUCCGUGUCCCUAUCUCUGAUGGAACGAAUGAAUCAGAAAAUAAUCGAAGUUAAAAUGGAAAUGAUGAAAGUAAUCGAUGUUAAAAUUGAAAUGAUGAAAAUCGGAAGAUAGUAAACAUUUGGGUGCCUUUAGCGGAUCCAACUCCCACACCUAACGUCUUUCACUGUCAUAGAAACGAAUCUAGUUUAAUUCAAGUUUGGGUGAAUAAAGGUAGGCUCGCGUAUCUGUUCGAGUUAUCACCCGCCGCAAUCAUAUAGUAGUUAUUUAAGUUAGAAAUGUGAUAUUUAUAAAAAUAAAUAAAUAAUAAUUUAAUAUUCAAAUAAGACAGCAGUUUAGUUCAAUUAUAAGUUUGCCAGCUUAAUUUUUGUUUUGAAAAUUAUUUCUGUUCAAUUUGUCUAGUAAUUCAAUAUGUUUAAAUACAAUUGUUUGGUUUCUUAAUUUCCUACGACUAUAUAUAAGUUUUUCUAGAAUCUAAUUUUGCUUUUUAGGAUGAUUUAAAAACCUACCCAAAUGCUAAAUUAAGGUGCGGCCGGGGUGUUCAAAUUCAACAGAAGGAAGAUGCUUCAAGGAAAAAAAAAUCAACAUAAGACCUCAAAAAAUGGAAUUAUUAAAUCUCCAUUACUAUUCAUGUUGCUGAUGGUGGUCAAUCUAUUUCACCUGGCUUCAACAUCUCUUCCUUUCAUCAACACGAGCAGAUCUCUAUUAUCCCCUUCAAUUUCAACCUGUUGAUCCAGCUCUGCUGCCCAAUUGGAAGCUGCUUUUGCUCCCUUUGUUAUCAAAUCUGAGAUGUUGGUGAAGAGGAUCGGAAUUCCCCUGGCACCAUUGCAGUUUCCAGUAUGAUAAGAGAGGAUUAGCCCAAUGCCUGUUGUACCUUGGCUUGGUUCUCAGAUACCCACAUUAAUUUCAGAGAAAGGAAUUGUGGGAGCUUCCAACUAUUCAUGUAAGUUAUGUGAAUUUGGUUUAUAUAAUUUUUCCCUGAAUAUGAAAUAUGCAAAUUUGUGUUAGGUUUAUCCAUCACAGCUGUAUGAAGGUUUAUGUAGUUUAUUAUCUGUUUUUCCACUUUAUGAGUUGGGAUGGAAUUUUGUUCAAAUACCAUUGUGCACAUUUGUUUCCAUAUAUGCCAAUUCACAAUUGCACUGAAUUCAUACCA